GGGCCUCCGCCGGCACCUCCGUCAGAGAGUUAUCGUCCAACCACAGGUGACGCAGCCGAGCGCCAGGCCAGAGAAAAACAGCCAAUGGAACGCUGGAGAUGUGGUUGGCGUCCAGGCGGCUACGGAGACAUUUAAAUACAGUCUUUACAGACUAUAAAACGGGAGGUUUCAGCUCCCUUUGAAGCAGUUAAAGAGGAACAUUAGCGAUCAAGUGUUUCAACAGCUCAGAGGAAUGAUGGGAGGCUGCUGGAGCACCACUCAACCCUCCGACCGGCUCUCAGGAUAAACCGAGAGUUCAUGAAGAAAUCUGAGGAUCGAACGUCGAUACUCUGAAGCAUCAACAUGUUCAUGACUUCAGAUCAACGCUAAACGCCAAACGUCAAUCACACGUCUCUGGCUGAUGAAUCCAGAUGUCCACCCUCUGGACUCCAGGUCUGUACUACGUGAUAGAAGACACUCUGAGACCAGACCUCAUGAGGGUCAGGGGUAGGACAGCACGAUAUGAGGACAUAUGCGAUAACGUUAUAAUAUCACAAUGUGAUAAAUGAACAGAUAUUAAGGUCCCUAUCGUGCUCAAUUUUCAGGUUCAUACUUGUAUUUUUGUGUUUCUACUAGAACAUGUUUACAUGCUGUAAUGUUAAAAAAAAUA